GACGAACGCUGGCGGCGCGCCUAACACAUGCAAGUCGAACGAGCGAGAGGAGGUUUCCUUUCUCAAGCGAGUGGCGAACGGGUGAGUAACGCGUGAGGAACCUGCCUCAAAGAGGGGGACAACAGUUGGAAACGACUGCUAAUACCGCAUAAGCCCACGACCCCGCCUCGGGUAGAGGGAAAAGGAGCAAUACGCUUUGAGAUGGCCUCGCGUCCGAUUAGCUAGUUGGUGAGGUAAUGGCCCACCCAGGCGACGAUCGGUAGCCGGACUGAGAGGCUGAACGGCCACAUUGGGACUGAGACACGGCCCAGACUCCUACGGGAGGCAGCAGUGGGGAAUAUUGCACAAUGGGGGAAACCCUGAUGCAGCGACGCCGCGUGGAGGAAGAAGGUCUGCGGAUUGUAAACUCCUGGUGUUGAGGAAGAUAAUGACGGUACUCAACAAGGAAGUGACGGCUAACUACGUG
rnacentral:rRNA from 1 species